GGAGCCGAAACGUCUUGAUUCUGAAAACAGUGUCCAGAUGACUACGACUGAAACCUUUACUUUUGAUAGUUUCAGUACAUGAAGCCUUGACGGCCCCUCCUGGGUCUCUGCUUUGCCUGGCCUGCUUGUGUUUUCUUGUCUCCUUGCAGGAAGUGGGCAGGCAGAGCAGAUGAGGUGAGCCGGCUCACCUGGGCUGACCAGCUGGCAGGCCUAUAAAGCUGGCCAGUUCAGUCUGCCCCUCUCUCUCUCAGCUCCCCCAUCGUCGCCUGGUUUGGUUACUUUGUUUUGUCUUUUCUUUUAACAUCUUCAUACACUUCCCACUCCCUUACAUCACUGAUGUUACUGAUCGUUCACAUCUCAUGGAUUUGUUUGAAAUGAAAGCCUGAAACAAAGUAACAGCGACAAAACCCCUCCGGUCUGUGUAAUAACACCUAAGUGUGAGAUUUGAGUUUGAAUCCAAAUCCUGGGUUCUUACUGGACGCAGGAAACUGCAUGACGUCUCCAAGCCUAUAAACUCCAGUGCGUCAGUUUCGCCACGGCCAUUCCACUGCGACGCAAGUUGCUACAAGCCAGGUGUAGCUGCAGGGGGUGGAGCAGGAAGUCAGCAGCAUCUUGUCCUCUGCUCAGAGGAAGUCCCACCCACUACACGGCCCUGUCACUCUGACUCCGCCUCCAGCUGGUUCACAGCCAAUGAGGACAC